AGUCGUUCUGCCCAUUGAAUUUAAAAGGCUGCGGUAUAUUAACUGUACAAAGGUAGCAAAAUAAAUAGUUUUUUAAUUGAAAACUUGAAUGAAAGAGUUGAUAAAAUAUAAAUUGUCUCAAAUAUAUAAUUUAAAUAAAAAGUAAAAAUGCUUUUAUUUUUUUAUAAGACGAUAAGACCCUAAGAAUUUAAUAAUUUAAAUUAUUUUAAAUGUUUAUUAAAUUUUAAAUUAUUUUAUUGGGAGGAUAAUUAAAUAACUUUAAAUUAAAGUAAUAUUUUUAAAUAAAUUUAAUGAUUAAUAUUUUAAUUAUAAGAAUAAAUUACCUUAGGGAUAACAGCGUAAUAAUUUUGGAGAGUUCAUAUUGAUAAAAUUGUUUGCGACCUCGAUGUUGAAUUAAAAUUAAAAUUAAAUGGAGAUAUUUAAAAUUUUAGUCUGUUCGACUAUUAAAAUUUUAC
rnacentral:rRNA from 1 species